GACGAGGUGGCUGUGUGGUUAAGGCGAUGGACUGCUAAUCCACUGUGCUCUACACACGUGUUCGAAUCCCAUCCUCGUCG
rfam:Danio rerio chromosome 4, GRCz11 reference primary assembly.